AGUUAACAUUGGAAGGGGUUAAGGCUGAACGAAUCCAAGAUGAAGCCCUGGCUUUAAACCUGCCUGGAUCUCAAGCAGAUGGGACAGGUGCCUGAUUUCCAAGCCCAGUGGUUCGGUUUGCAGAAGUGCUGAGCUCUCAGCCUCCACUAAGUCAGGGAGAGAUAUGCUUUGAAACCCAAACACCUUAAACAAAGAGGAAACUGGAACUGGGGCCAGUAAACAGCAUGUCCAAAAGGAAGAGAGUCCUGGGAGGCAAGGAAAAUCAAAG
ensembl:lncRNA